AAUGCUCAAGAAUUGACCAUCCCACAAUGGGACAUGGUUAAUUAAAUGGUAUCUUCUUACAUAGGGGGGCACGUGUACCUCUAGGUCUCACCAAACUGAUCAUGAUAACCUAGAUAUACGCCCUGAUUUUCUAAUGUGCAUUAAUAGGCCCACUUUGUCUCUAAAGCUAAAUGGAAUUGUGAAAAUGAUACACUCAUUUUACCAGUUGUUAUCGAAGGACAUUAGGUUUUUGCAAACAUGAGGCGUUAGCCCAGGCAACAAGAGGGGAACCAAUAGUUGCACACYUAAGAAGAUUCCCUACGAUUACACCUUAAAGGCUCGAUUGUGUGCGUCAGUGAUGUCGCUGCAAACAUGUAAUUGUUUAAUAGACAAGCAGCAGCUGCGGGCUGACUUUUCACGACCAAGAGCCAUUAAUAGAAAGAUGGAACAGCUGUUUUCAACGUGUUCCAAACAUAGAGAAGCAAGACUCCCCUCUUGGCUUUGUUUAACUCUUUGACCAAGCAUCAGUUUGUAGGCGUCAGUCAAGUCUCUCUAUGAAUAUUUAAUGAA